AACAUGUCAGAGUUUGGUGGACUGCAGUUUACGGUCCGACGGCGGUUCAAGGACGUGGUGACAUUGUCGGAUCGAGUAAUGGAGGCAUACCGAGGUUUUUUAUACCUCCAAGGCCUGAUAAGAGUGUGGUUGAGAGUCAAGUAAUGCAAAAGCAAGAGUUUGUUGAACAAAGAAGAUUUGCAUUAGAGAAAUACUUGCAGAGAUUGGUUGAGCAUCCUGUGAUUAGGCAAAGUGGUGAGUUGAGAGCGUUCUUACAGGUUCAGGGGAAGCUUCCCUUGCUACCGAAUUCUCCUGUAACCUUAAGAAUGCUUGAUGGGGCAACAAAAUCGUCAAAACAGUUGCUUGGGGAUAAUUUAGGUGGUGGUAGUGUUAGGAUUCAGCCUCAGGAUGUUGUGCGACCUGCAAAAAGUAAGUGGGAUUUUCUAAGGAUUGUGAAGGAGAUGAACCAAUCUGUGAACAAUAAUUAGGGAGGAUCAAAGCCACCCGUAAACGAGGAUGAUACUGAGUUUCUUCAAAAUAAAGAGAGACUCCUAAAUCUUGAGAAGAAACUUUCCAGUGCUUCCAAGCAGGUAUGUCUGAUAAUACUAACAACCCUUUCUUUCUUCUAAGCAGGUAUGUCUGAGAAGCAACAUCGUGGGAUAAGGUUGCAAAAAUGGUGGGCGGAGAAACCAUAUUUUUUUAGAAAUAAGGUUGCAAAAACGGUCCUCUAGGUGGAAAGACAAAAAUACCCUUGUCUUUAUUGCAAGUAAUAGAACAUAUGAAUGGAAGUUUAUGAAUGGAAGUUAGUGUGAGGAACCAAAAACAAUAAAAAAAAUCUAAUUUUGAACCAUGGUACACCAAACCAAAAAUGCAUAAAUUUGCCAACCAGAGGGACUAUUUUUACAAUUUUGUCUUGUUUUUAUUUAUAAAAAAUAGACUAAACUGCGGGGCAUGUGGUUAGCACAAAAAUAUGAAUAUAGUCAAAAAAGUUUUCAACUUGAUUCAAAAUCAAAUUCUUUUUGUGGUUUUGGUCUUUAGAAAAGUUGAAAGGACUGUUUUACCCUUUUAUUUUUUUUUAUAUAUAUUUAAUUUAAUACAUCUUUAAUUAAAAAAAAAAGAAUUUGACCAACCUCCACCUUAACCUUGAUUCACUGUCUCCAUCACCCAUUUAGACACACAUAUUAUUAUAUCUCUUCCUUUAAUUUUUCAUACCGUCGAUCAAAGGGUUUCAUGAUUAACCCUUCUCACUCCUCUGGCUCCAACGCCUCUCAUCGACCAUCAUCUCCAUCCUUUCUCCAACGUUAAUCUGAGUCACUUCAUCAUCGGUGCUACACUCAAUCUCACAGUAAGUAUGGAUACCUCUAUGGAAACGACGAAAUGCCUCCGAAAAACUCAACAAUGCAUCAUCUGGUGACGAUGAUACAUCUCUUAAAAUCAAAGCAUCCUCCCCACUUCUAAACCCAAAUAUAUCGAUGGAUAUUAGGAGGUCAAUGCAUCAAUACAAAAUCGCUAAUCGCUGAUUCCCGUUUCCUUGGAAAACUUCGACCCAAAUUGUUGAUUCGACGUUGUGUUGGAUGAUUUCAGAGUUAGCUUUAUCUACUCCAAAUCGGUUCUCAUAGUCAUCGAAAUUUGAAGUUUCUUCAUCAAGCUUUCUCUAAAAUUAGGUAAUCAAAGAUGAUUUUGGUGUAGUUUCUGUUUUUUUGUAUUGAUUUAAGGGUGGGUGGCCGCGAUUCAAGGAAAGGGAUAAAAAGGGGAUAUACACUUGAAUUUCUUCUUAUAUUAUGUAUUUGUUUCAAGUAAUUAGGAUUUGGACAUUUUUCUUUCAUAUAGAGUUGGAACCUAAUCCAUCAAUUGAACUAGAUGCAUUAAGUCAUAAAUGUCAAUGUAUGUGUGUAUAUGUUGAUUUGAUAAAGGUUGCAGAAGAAAAUGGUAUAUGUUCAUUAGGCCAUCUUCAAUGCAUUGAACUCAAAUGAGUUCAAUGGAUUGCCA
rnacentral:lncRNA from 1 species